UUAGUACUCCCUCCGUCCGAAAAUACUUGUCAUCAAAAUGGACAAAAAGGGAUGUAUCUAGAACUAAAAUACAUCUAGAUACAUCCCUUUUUAUUCAUUUUGAUAACAAGUAUUUCCGGACGGAGGGAUUAUUAG
rnacentral:pre_miRNA from 1 species